AUUGAACGCUGGCGGCAGGCCUAACACAUGCAAGUCGAACGAGUGGCGAACGGGUGAGUAAUGUCUGGGAAACUGCCUGAUGGAGGGGGAUAACUACUGGAAACGGUAGCUAAUACCGCAUACCAUACGAUGUGCCCAGAUGGGAGUAGCUUGUUGGUGGGGUAACGGCUCACCAAGGCGACGGUCACUAGCUGGUCUGAGAGGAUGACCAGCCACACUGAAUCGGAGACACGGUCCAGACUCCUACGGGAGGCAGCAGUGGGGGAUAUUGCACAAUGAGCGCGAGCCUGAUGCAGCCAUGCCGCUUAUAUGAAGAAGGCCUUCGGGUUGUAAAGUACUUUCAGCGGGGAGGCGUUACCCGCAGAAGGAGCACCGGCUAACUCCGUGCCAGCAGCGGCGGUGAUAC
rnacentral:rRNA from 1 species